AUCCUAAGGUGGGGACAUUAUCUAAGAAACUCUUUAAAUAUUUCUGAAGCAUCAAAUAAAGAUUCAUCACCUCCUUGUCUAAAUGAAGUGAUCUCAUUCCUCAUCUU